rnacentral:rRNA from 1 species
AGUGAACGCUGGCGGUAGGCCUAACACAUGCAAGUCGAACGGCAGCACAGUAAGAGCUUGCUCUUACGGGUGGCGAGUGGCGGACGGGUGAGGAAUACAUCGGAAUCUUCUUUUUCGUGGGGGAUAACGUAGGGAAACUUACGCUAAUACCGCAUACGACCUACGGGUGAAAGCAGGGGAUCUUCGGACCUUGCGCGAUUGAAUGAGCCGAUGUCGGAUUAGCUAGUUGGCGGGGUAAAGGCCCACCAAGGCGACGAUCCGUAGCUGGUCUGAGAGGAUGAUCAGCCACACUGGAACUGAGACACGGUCCAGACUCCUACGGGAGGCAGCAGUGGGGAAUAUUGGACAAUGGGCGCAAGCCUGAUCCAGCCAUACCGCGUGGGUGAAGAAGGCCUUCGGGUUGUAAAGCCCUUUUGUUGGGAAAGAAAAGCAGCAGGUUAAUACCCCGCUGUUCUGACGGUACCCAAAGAAUAAGCACCGGCUAACUUCG